UCCCAAGUGGAACAGCCGCCUCAAGUGCAAUCUCUAUUACCAUAGGACAAACUACUUCAUUUUGAUAGUGCUCGUUCCCGAUAAGCAAAGAAGCACCAGCUAAUUGUGAAUUAAAUUUUUGUUUUUGGAUGGGAAUUUAUCUCCUUAAGCUUAAUUAGGAGUUUAUUUGUAUUUUGGUUUCAGGGUUUGCAUGUGUCUCACAAGGCCUAUGGCUAUUCUUGCUGCUGCUUUGACAGCUUUAAGCAUUGCUUUUCUCAAUGAUAGUUAUGCUACUUUCAUGAUGUGAAUCUGGUUGUUUAUGGUAUUUUGCAGGGCUAAUGCUUCAAUUGUAUCGUUUUCCUCUUUCUGGUUUCAAACUGGGUUAUUGAUAGCCGAUAAACUCAUCCCACGCUUUGCUUUUGUUUUCUAUAAUGACUUCAGUAUUCUAAAAUUUCUUGAAUAUUGUAUUGAAGGAUGGUAAUCAUUUAUAUAACUCUUGUGGUAACCUGGAUUUCCCUCCAAAGUUAGGUUGAAUUGGGUAUAUCUUCAUGCUAUAUGACAAAUUGAUUUUGUUUUUGCAUGUCAAAACAACCAGAGACAUGAGCUUUAGAAACAUCCGAGUUGUUAUUCUUGUAUCAUAGAACGUGUAGGCAUGUAAAUUCUCAAGGAUUAUAUCAUUGAAGGCUCAUGCUUAAAGCUGAUGUAGAAACUUGUAAAUUUUCUGUGAACUAGUCAAUAAAAAGUUGGUUUCUUUAGUUUCAUAACAUUGGUUUACUUUCCAGCUUGUAAUCUAACUAUGAGACAAACAUAGGCUAUCUUACUUGCAAUCAAGAAAUCACAUUAUCAGUGACAGAGAGAAGCAUGGAGAAAACAAUUCAACAAGUAUAUUAUUAGGAACUAUGUAUUUACUUUAUCAGAUGUCCUUUCUCGUGAUGCUUCUUCCGAUGAGGCAACAACAAAGAUUAUUUUGUUUUCUUUGUUGCAUGCAUCUUAGGGAAAAUCAUGUGUUCUAUUCCUCUUGAAUUUGCCAUGCUACUUUUAAAGCAAGGAAGUUAAUCUAUUAACCCCACCCCUUUACCUGGCACAUGGGAUGUGCAUAUCACUUCAUUUUGUUCUGAAUAUAUGCAGUGGAUAAAAUAACUGUUCAUAACUUGGUGCUAAAGAUUUAUUUUGCAGUUUUGCAGCUACUUUCAGUGAAAAGGUAACA
rnacentral:misc_RNA from 1 species